rnacentral:rRNA from 1 species
GAUGAACGCUGGCGGCGUGCCUAAUACAUGCAAGUCGAGCGAACGGACGAGAAGCUUGCUUCUCUGAUGUUAGCGGCGGACGGGUGAGUAACACGUGGAUAACCUACCUAUAAGACUGGGAUAACUUCGGGAAACCGGAGCUAAUACCGGAUAAUAUUUUGAACCGCAUGGUUCAAAAGUGAAAGACGGUCUUGCUGUCACUUAUAGAUGGAUCCGCGCUGCAUUAGCUAGUUGGUAAGGUAACGGCUUACCAAGGCAACGAUGCAUAGCCGACCUGAGAGGGUGAUCGGCCACACUGGAACUGAGACACGGUCCAGACUCCUACGGGAGGCAGCAGUAGGGAAUCUUCCGCAAUGGGCGAAAGCCUGACGGAGCAACGCCGCGUGAGUGAUGAAGGUCUUCGGAUCGUAAAACUCUGUUAUUGGGGAAGAACAUAUGUGUAAGUAACUGUGCACAUCUUGACGGUACCUAAUCAGAAAGCCACGGCUAACUACGUGCCAGCAGCCGCGGUAAUACGUAGGUGGCAAGCGUUAUCCGGAAUUAUUGGGACGUAAGCGCGCGUAGGCGGUUUUUUAAGUCUGAUGUGAAAGCCCACGGCUCAUCCGUGGAGGGUCAUUGGAAACUGGAAAACUUGAGUGCAGAAGAGGAAAGUGGAAUUCCAUGUGUAGCGGUGAAAUGCGCAGAGAUAUGGAGGAACACCAGUGGCGAAGGCGACUUUCUGGUCUGUAACUGACGCUGAUGUGCGAAAGCGCGGGGAUCAAACAGGAUUAGAUACCCUGGUAGUCCACGCCGUAAACGAUGAGUGCUAAGUGUUAGGGGGUUUCCGCCCCUUAGUGCUGCAGCUAACGCAUUAAGCACUCCGCCUGGGGAGUACGACCGCAAGGUUGAAACUCAAAGGAAUUGACGGGGACCCGCACAAGCGGUGGAGCAUGUGGUUUAAUUCGAAGCAACGCGAAGAACCUUACCAAAUCUUGACAUCCUUUGACAACUCUAGAGAUAGAGCUUUCCCCUUCGGGGGACAAAGUGACAGGUGGUGCAUGGUUGUCGUCAGCUCGUGUCGUGAGAUGUUGGGUUAAGUCCCGCAACGAGCGCAACCCUUAAGCUUAGUUGCCAUCAUUAAGUUGGGCACUCUAAGUUGACUGCCGGUGACAAACCGGAGGAAGGUGGGGAUGACGUCAAAUCAUCAUGCCCCUUAUGAUUUGGGCUACACACGUGCUACAAUGGACAAUACAAAGGGCAGCGAAACCGCGAGGUCAAGCAAAUCCCAUAAAGUUGUUCUCAGUUCGGAUUGUAGUCUGCAACUCGACUACAUGAAGCUGGAAUCGCUAGUAAUCGUAGAUCAGCAUGCUACGGUGAAUACGUUCCCGGGUCU